rnacentral:misc_RNA from 1 species
AAAUCUCGCAUCAUCAUAGGCACUUAGUUUCUUGAACCGGUUUUAGAACUCGCUAGGCUUGUGUGUGGCGAAGAACUCUUUUUUACUCCCUUGCUUGCCGACAGAUCGAAUCCCACGAUCAGUGACUUGUGUAUGAAUUUAGUACUGUUGGCUCUAUUCGAGCAUGUUUCGGUUUUAAGAGAACUGCUACAAUGGCAAAAGUUAAAGGAAUAACACUGAAACGGAAUUAGCUGGUAUGUUUCCACAAACUGUCUGGAUAAGCUCGUUCCUUCCAAGCUAAAUUUAGUUGCUCGCAGUUGACAUCAAAAAUGAUGUCGCCUAAAGUAUCAACUAUUACAACGACGGCAUGAUAGCCGCUUUCAGAAUAUCGAGCAUCUUGUUACUGCUUGCAGCUUUUGUCUGGAGAACAAAAACAGAGACCCAGUGGGCAACCGGCAGCCAUGCGGAAGAAGAAGAGGAAAAGAAACUGAACGUAGUUAUCGGAAAUUUGCCUAUAAGGAGUACUCUUUCCGCUAAUGAAAGUUCAAAUGAUGAUUCUUCCUUAAGUUCCAAAGAUGAAGAAAAGUCAACGUUUUCGCGAGAACGCAUUUCGAACUUUACGAAUUCUGAGGAGCUCUUUGGAGAUACUAAAAGUGAAGCUAGUCCUGAAAAUAGCGUCGAUCGCGAAACUUCAAACGAAAAUGGUGGCUCUUUGGAAGACCGUCUAGAAGUCGAUACUUCAACUAUAGUGAACUUCAAAGAACAAUAUAAGCCUCUAGAAAGUCUUCCUGUUAGUAAUGAAACUUUAUUAACCACUACUACAUCACAUAUUGUUGAAAUAUCUGAUCAAUCUAACUGCUCCUUCAUCGGGGAGAAGUGCAAACCUUUGCAGUCUGUGCAAACUACAAAUUUGGAUUCUAAACUUCAAGAUAAAAUGUUUUAUCCCACGCCAAGUUUCGCCGCAACAACUUCCCCAGCUUUAUGGAGCAUUGUUAAAUCAUUUAGGCCAGAUUCAACUCUUCACCAGCGAUCUAGCGUGAAAUUAUUUCCAACAGAAAAUUCAAUAAAUGCUGCGACUGUGACUCCGAACACUCCAGAGAGCUCAACGGCUCAAACUUCUGAAAAUAUAAUUUUAGUAGAAGGCCUGGGCAUCACUAAAGAUGAAUCUGUGAUACAAAUUCACAUUAAUAAAAGUGAAAAAUCAAAGCACAUAAAACUUGAUGAGCCUUUUGCAGAUUUUACUGACAGAUCAUUAAGGCAGUUUCCAAAAAGUAGUUUUACUAUUCCAACGAGUGAAUUUACGAAAGAAUCUCUCUUAUACUCUGAAAUGCAUACGUUAAGCUCAACAUUUCUUACAAAAUUAUUCGCAGCUACUACUAUUACGCCUACAGAAUCAUCUACACUAUCCUCUUCUGUUAAUUCUUCAGAGUUUUUCCUUUUGUCAUCUGAAGUGAAGACAAUUCAACCUUACGACUUAGUAACCAGGGAGAGAGAGAUUUUUCAAAUGAGCAGUUCCUCUUUUCCACCACCAUUUUCUAAAGAAACUCCCGUCUUUUAUAGUCCAAUUCCUGAAAUCUUUUCAACUGUUUCAUGGUACAAUGCCAAGAGCAGCUUUGAAGCUACUGAUGACAAGGAUGAAAAAGAACGUACGGAAACACUUUCAGAGUAUACACCAACUUUAUUUCCAUCGUUUAGUGAAUCCUCGAAAUCAAAGGAAACAGAAAAUAUUAGCCUAAGUCCGAUACCUUCAUUUUCUAAGAUGUCAAAUGCAUCAUCUUUCGUUUCGACGAAGACAACAACUGCUGUAUCAAUUGAGCCAAUCUUACAACCACAUCUCAGCAGCCGAACUGUCAUAAAAGAUGCAACAACUAUCUUAACAACUCCUGAAGAAGAAAGUGCUCCACCUCCCAGGAUAACAAAUCCUGGUUGUUCUAGUCUCCCUAUAUGCGUUGAAAUCACACUGCUGGAAACAACCUGGGAAGAAUUCUGUUCGCAGGCCCAGGACUUCCAAGAAUUUUUGUCUAAAACUGUUUCGCAUUACACUCGCCCCAUCCAUCCCCACCAAAUCAUUCUAGAUGCGGAAAGAUGCAGUUCUUCCAUCCACUCUUUCCAAGCGACACCUGAUGUUUCUGUCGCAUUCUAUGUGACGGACGAUUCUGGAGAAUAUGAGGAAAGGCUCACGGAUAUUUGCGGAUUUAUAUUAACAAAAUGGGCACCUACUGCAUUCAGAAAUUCGGUCAUGGAAGUAAGAUUUUACAACAGCGAAAUACAAGCCACUCAGCUGCCAGUGAUACCCGAGCUUAAUUCUGGAUUCGUAGCAGCUGUAUCAAUAUCAGCUGUGGCAGGCGUCGCCUUGUGCCUCCUUUGCAUCCUUCUGGUUAUAAUGAAGCAAAAACUUCUUCAAGGCAGAAACUCGGAGACUACAUCUCCAUCAGCGGACGCCUACAGUCUGGACUCUCUUUCAAUCAACGCUAGUUUUAGGAGAAGGAGAACGAGGAGGUCUGCUAGGUCAUACUUAAAUCAUGCUUUUAACGAUCAGGAAUUUCCAUCUCAUCCUCUGAACGAAAAAUCGCUUACGAAUUGCUUAAAAAACAGAGAGCUUUUAGAAGAAGAAUUCAAGAAAAUCCCAUUGAAUAUGCCAAAACUAGACCAAAUUCCCGAAGGAGCCCAUGUUAAAAAUAGAUAUUCUAAUAUACUCCCAAAACCUGAGAGUAGAGUUGUGUUAGCAGAGCCAUCUGGCGACCCACUGAAAUGCUACAUCAACGCAAAUUAUAUCAAAGGUUAUGGAGGGAAAGCCGCUACUUAUAUUGCAUGUCAGGCUCCGCUUCCUGAAGGCAUUGAAGAUUUCUGGAGAAUGGUUUGGGAACAACAAAGCAGAGUAAUCAUUAUGCUUACCAUGUUUGAAGAAAAUGGAACGUCACGAUGUGCUGUUUAUUUUCCUCAAAGUACGUUGGUAUCUCAUCCACCAUAUGGAGAUUUUCAAGUAUCUCUGCUGAAAAAAGAUGUCUACGAAUUCUACACUAUGUCUACUUUUCGUCUUUUGGACUUGGAGGUGAGUGUUUCAUUUUUCAGAAAAAUCUGUUUCGUGAUGUCGUUCACCUGUGGUAUACAAGCUGGCCUGACGUAGGAGUUCCUAAAGACCCAACAACUCUAAUCUCAUUUAUACAACAAUGUCGACCUUUCAUCAAUUGUAACUCAGGUCCAACUGUUGUACAUUGCAGCACCGGAACAGGCAGAACUGGCGUAUUCAUUGUUCUGGAUAUUUGCAUGCGAGAAUAUGAUGAAUCCCGAUCGAUUGAUAUCCUACAAUGUGUGUCUCAGUUGCGAAAGGAUCGAGGUGGAGCCGUUCAGAAUAAAG